UGGAUCAAUGAUGAUGACUGGUCACAUGGAGUCAUAUAUGGUGAGUGUCAGGUGUCUGUAACUCUUGUGUUCAC
rnacentral:snoRNA from 1 species